rnacentral:rRNA from 1 species
GACGAACGCUGGCGGCGUGCUUAACACAUGCAAGUCGAACGGAAAGGCCCUGCUUGCAGGGUGCUCGAGUGGCGAACGGGUGAGUAACACGUGGGUGAUCUGCCCCUUACUUUGGAAUAAGCCUGGGAAACUGGGUCUAAUACUGGAUAGGACCAUGCUGUAGGUGGUGUGGUGGAAAGAUUAGUUUCGGUAAGGGAUGAGCUCGCGGCCUAUCAGCUUGUUGGCGGGGUAAUGGCCUACCAAGGCGUCGACGGGUAGCCGGCCUGAGAGGGUGGACGGCCACAUUGGGACUGAGAUACGGCCCAGACUCCGACGGGAGGCAGCAGUGGGGAAUAUUGCACAAUGGGCGCAAGCCUGAUGCAGCGACGCCGCGUGGGGGAUGACGGCCUUCGGGUUGUAAACUCCUUUCAGCCAUGACGAAGCCUUCGGGUGACGGUAGUGGUAGAAGAAGCACCGGCUAACUACGUG